UACAGAGGGUGCGAGCGUUAAUCGGAGUUACUGGGCGUAAAGAGCUCGUAGGCGGUCUGUCGCGUCGGCUGUGAAAUCCCGGAGCUCAACUCCGGGUCUGCAGUCGAUACGGGCAAGCUGGAGUACUGCAGGGGAGACUGGAAUUCCUGGUGUAGCGGUGAAAUGCGCAGAUAUCAGGAGGAACACCGGUGGCGAAGGCGGGUCUCUGGGCAGUAACUGACGCUGAGGAGCGAAAGCGUGGGGAGCGAACAGG
rnacentral:rRNA from 1 species